GAGUUUGAUCGUGGCUCAGGACAAACGCUGGCGGAAUGUAUUAGGCAUGCAAGUCGUACGAACCUUCGGGUUAGUGGCGAACGGGUGAGUAACACGUGGGUAACCUGCCUCGUAGUGGGGAAUAACUCGCCGAAAGGCGAGCUAAUACCGCAUAACACCCCUGGUGAGAUUCCGGGUGGUAAAAGCUCCGGCGCUACGAGAGGGGCCCGCGGCCGAUUAGCUAGUUGGUGGGGUAAUAGCCUACCAAGGCGACGAUCGGUAGCUGGUCUGAGAGGAUGGUCAGCCACACGGGGACUGAGAUACGGCCCCGACUCCUACGGGAGGCAGCAGCUAAGAAUCUUGCGCAAUGGGCGAAAGCCUGACGCAGCAAUUCCGCGUGGGGGACGAAGGCCCUCGGGUCGUAAACCCCUUUUGCGAGGGAAGAAGUUCUGACGGUACCUCACGAAUAAGACACGGCUAACUACGUGCCAGCCGCCGCUGUAAG
rnacentral:rRNA from 1 species